AGAAACUUCUCUAUUGUGAGGCCAGGAAGGUAGGUGGGGCCAGCUUGUGAAGGACCUUGAAGUCAAGUUUAGGUGUGUGGAUUAUAUCGAAAGCCAAGGAAAAGUUUUAAGCAGGGGUUGCAUCUUAGAUCAAAUGGGAAUGUCCAUAAGGGAGAGAUGGAGUCUGUACACAAAUACAGGAAGUACCAAGUUGUGUAAGUCCAGACUGGGGAUGGUGAGGGCCUGACAGAAGGCAAUGAGGCAAUUAGAGAUUGGAGCCUGGGACUACAGAAUCAUGGUCUCUGUGGGAGUCUAGGCCAUGGUGGGUGGAGGUCAGGCCGUAAAGUCCCCAGGCCAUGUCACCCAGUCUCCCCUGAACACUGAGACCAGCACUUCUAUGCUGCAGUUUCAUCUUCCCAGGCUCCACAGUACAUCCCAUGGCUGGCCUUUCUCCUGCUGGGAGAGAGAUUUCAGCAGAGGCGGCAGCAGAGCAGUACCCACAGAAAUCUUCAGUCCAGCUGAGGAGGGAUGGAGACAAGAAGAAGCAUGCCAGAGAGGACACCAGUGUAUCUCUGGCCAGCUGAGGGACUCAAGGACAUUUAAGGACUUUCAGAAGAGCUUCAGCCAACUUACCACUGCUCCUUAGCGUGAAGGCAGAGCCCUGGGGGGGACACUUUUUGUCCAUCUUGCUUUCCUUCUCUUUUCCCAUCAAAUUCCACUGGGCCGGAGGACAAGGAGUUUCCUCAGUAGCUAAGCUGGUCUUUUGGGAGCUUGCUACCCACAAAGAGUAAUCAGUAGAAGCAGCAAAACCUAAGGAUUAUGUGGUAAUCAUUAUUCUGUGGGGCAGAAUAAAGACUCCCCCUCCCCCAUCAAGGAUGUCCACAUCCUAAUCCACAGUACCUGCAAUGUAUCCUACAAGGCAAAAGGGACUUUGCAGAUGUGAUUAGAGACCUUGAGUUGGGAGAUAAUCCUGGAUUAUCUGGAUGGGCUCAAUGUAAUCAACAAGGGUCCUAGGGAGGCCGAAUGUAGUUUGGAGUGAUGCCAUGUGAAAGGGACUCAACCCACCAUUCACUGCUGGCUUUGAAGAUGGAGGAAGAAAGCCACAAGCCAAGGAAUAUGGGCAGCCUCUAAGAGCUGGCAGAGGUAAGGAAACAGAUUAUCCCUUAAAGCUUCCAGAAAGGAAUGCAGCCUUGACACCACCUUGAUUUCAGCCCAGUGAGACCCGUCAGACUUCCAGCCAACGAACUGUAAUAAUAAAUAUGUUGUUUUGAGCUGCUAAGUCUGUGAUAGUUAUGGCAGUGAUCGGAAACAAAGCAGAUCGUAAGGCUGGCUCCUUGUCACUCAGCUCUUGAGUCAGUUGACUUGGAGAGAGACCUCCUUUGGCCAUUCUACCCACCGUCAUCCUUUCUUCACUCUCCAGUCACUGGCACUUUGCCAUUUCAUCCAGUGUUGUUUGGUAGUUGUGAUGCUUGUGUUGACCUGAUUUCCAGCCUUCCCCCCUAUAGUGUAAGCUCCAUGAGAGCAGGCACCUUGGUUAUUUGUCCAUCACUGUAUCCCUAGUACGAAGAAAAGCGCCUACACACAAUGGAAACUCCACAAGUGUUUGAUGGGUAGAUGGGUGGAUGAAUGAAUAUGAUGGUGCACUGCUAUGUCAUGGGCACACUAAUGACAUGAAACCUGUUGAGGCAGAAUGCUCAGUGGUUAUUUACCAUAGUUAUGACCUGCAAAGGCUCAACCAAAACAUACACACUCUCCUUUUACACCCUACAGGAUGACUAAUCAGUCACACCUCUUCAAAGGCUCUUAUUAAGUCUUUAGCGGUCUCAGACUGUUGCUGCUAUAAGCCUCCUAGAAGUAUUUAUGCAGAGUAAAACAUAAAUUUCCUCUGCCAAACAGAAUCAGAGGGGAAUAUAUGAGAUCAUCCAUGAGUACAUAUGGUAACUGUUCCCUCUAGGUCAAAUACUCUGGGAAGAAAGGCCAAGCUGGUUUUAGAAAAAGUAUUGGCUUCUCAGACUUUUUUCAGUAUUUUCUAGCUCCACAAUAUGUUUCUCCAGGAAAUGAGUUGCCAA
rnacentral:lncRNA from 10 species